UGUGACCUUCUCAUCCGCUACCCUCCGCUGGCAUGGGAGGUGCGAGCCUCCUCACUGCCCACCCCGGAGCGUGCCUGGAACAGACGCAAGCACCUGAGCGGUGCACUUGCACGAGAUGCGAGCUGAUGCCCACCACGGCUGAGAGCGUGUGUUGCGGCAUGGAACCCUGUAUUCUUACAGACCAGCAAAUGCAGCUGGUCUGUCUGAACGAAGCAGCAGUCACGGUUGGCAUGCUGUUGUACGCCAGCCUGCGCGCCCAGCCGGCCAGCGCUCUCCAGCGGGCGAACGACCCUGGUGCCUUCAACCGACCAUUGCGGUACCAGGCAUACCGUCAGUUCAU